GAGGAACGUCUUGAGAUUCAGGCAAUUGCAGAUGAUAUAACUAGUAAAUAUGUUCCUCCCCAUGUCAACAUAUUUUAUUGUUUAGGGGGAAUUACACUUACUUGUUUUCUAGUACAAGUCGCUACCGGUUUUGCUAUGACUUUUUACUACCACCUUAAGUCAUUAUCAACCGAAACUCAUAGAGAAAGGGAUCCGCAAAACCCCUCGCCAUUACCGUAUGAGCAGGUUUUAAAGCCUGCAAGUUAA
rnacentral:rRNA from 1 species